UCCGUAGGUCCCGAGCGUUAUCCGGAUUUAUUGGGCGUAAAGCGAGCGCAGGCGGUUAGAAAAGUUUGAAGUUAAAGGCUGUGGCUUAACCAUAGUAUGCUUUGGAAACUGGUUAACUUGAGUGCUGGAGGGGGGAGUGGAAUUCCAUGUGUAGCGGUGAAAUGCGUAGAUAUAUGGAGGAACACCGGUGGCGAAAGCGGCUCCCUGGUCUGUGACUGACGCUGAGGCUCGAAAGCGUGGGUAGCGAACAGG
rnacentral:rRNA from 1 species